rnacentral:lncRNA from 1 species
GCAUAACCAGCUUUGGGAUUUUGCAUUAACCACCUCUUGUUAUUCGAGGUUUCACAGGGACCCCACCCAGCAAGCCACAUAAUCUAUAUAACACUUAUUGAUCCAAAGGUGUAGGAAUAGUCUAUGGGCCCAUCUCAUCUGGCCCAUCUCAGUAUAAUAGUCUUUGAAGUUGUCAUGCUUUUAAGGGUUGGCACACACAUACAGAUAACAUAAUGUUAAAUACAAUAGUCUCAAGAUGUGUCUGUGUUUGCUGUAUCUGUUACUUAUUCUUCCAUUUUUUAGGCUAAGGACUUUAUUAGAGCCCACCUCUCCCUCCUCGCCAAUAAUCAUCCAUAUGAACAAGAUAUGAACUAUAUUGCAAAUCUUGAAAAUGAAAACUUUGAAAGGUCAUGAGUUGGAUUUAUGAAAGAAAAGAAGAAAUGAUGGUGGUUCACGUCAAUCAAUAAGCUGAUGAUUCCACAAUGCUAUGAAUCUAAUGUUUGUAUUGUAAUUGUGUAGGCUCAUCUUUUUAAUAUUUGUGCUCUCUCUCACAGUACCUUGCUAUAUAAUGUAAAACCUGGCAUUCAUAGCAAUGUUUAAGGUUGAGAAAUCAAACCCUCAGAAGUCAGGAAACUUCAUGAAUUAAGGUGGCUCCAGCAUUACCAGGGGUCUGUUGACUUCAGUGGGACUACUCAUGUUCAAAAGCUUUGCUGAGCUGCAGACCAAAUUCCUUGCUAGCAUAAAUUAGUGCAGCUCCAUUGACUUCAAAGGAGUUAUAUCAGUGUAUACCAGUAGACAACUUGGACCUAAGUCUCAUUGAUUUCUUCCCCUCCCCCCGCCCAAGAAAAAAAAGUUACAUUUUGAGUUUCCAGCAUCAGCCAUUUUUGCUUAUUAAAGCCCAGUUCUGAUUUGUCACAGACAGGAAUUGUGGCUUUCUCCAUGACUGAACAAUAGAAAUGUGGCUGAAUGAAUUUUUCUCAAACUUACAAAGGCCUGGUCUACACUAGGCGUUUAUGUCGAAGUUAGCGCCGUUACAUCGAAUUAACCCUGCACCCGUCCACACUGCGAUGCUAUUUAGUUCGACAUAGAGGUCUCUUUAAUUCGACUUCUGUACUCCUCCCCGACGAGGGGAGUAGCGCUAAAUUCGACAUGGCCAUGUCGAAUUAGGCUAGGUGUGGAUGGAAAUCGACGCUAAUAGCUCCGGGAGCUAUCCCACAGUGCACCACUCUGUUGACGCUCUGGACAGCAGUGC